AAUAUGGGACAAGGGGCGCAAGCCUGAUCCAGCCAUGCCGCGUGAUUGAUUGAGGCCCUAUGGUUAUAAAGCUCUUUCAACGGUGAAGAUAAUGACGGUAACCGUAGAAGAAGCCCCGGCUAACUUCGUGCCAUCAGCCGCGGUAAUACGAAGGGGGCUAGCGUUGUUCGGAAUUACUGGGCGUAAAGCGCACGUAGGCGGAUUGGUCAGUUAGGGGUGAAAUCCCAGGGCUCAACCCUGGAACUGCCUUUAAUACUGCCGGUCUAGAGUUCGAGAGAGGUGAGUGGAAUUCCGAGUGUAGAGGUGAAAUUCGUAGAUAUUCGGAGGAACACCAGUGGCGAAGGCGGCUCACUGGCUCGAUGCUGACGCUGAGGUGCGAAAGCGUGGGGAGCAAACAG
rnacentral:rRNA from 1 species